rnacentral:snRNA from 1 species
GUGCUUGCUUUGGCAGCACAUAUACUAAAAUUGGAACGAUACAGAGAAGAUUAGCAUGGCCCCUGCACAAGGAUGACAUGCAAAUUCAUGAAGCGUUCCAUGGAAAG